UAGCUAAAUGCGGAAGAGAUAAGUGCUGAAAGCAUCUAAGCACGAAACUUGCCCCGAGAUGAGUUCUCCCUGACCCUUCAAGGGUCCUGAAGGAACGUUAAAGACGAUGACGUUGAUAGGCCGGGUGUGUAAGCGCAGCGAUGCGUUGAGCUAACCGGUACUAAUGAACCGUGAGGCUUAACCUU
rnacentral:rRNA from 1 species